GAAAGAGGCCAUGAGCCAAGGAAUGUGGACAGACUAUAGAAGCUGGGUAUGGAACAGAGAUUGAAGCUAAUUCUGCUGUCUGAGAAUUAUCUGCGUCUUGCUAGCAUGAAAAGAUAUUUUGGAGAAGCAUUAGAGCAGACAGAGUUAGAAGAAAACCUCUGCUGACAGAUUGUGCUCAGAUCCUGGCUCUGCCAAGCUGCAUGACCCUGGACCAGUCAACAAUCGCUUUGGAGAGGAGAAACAAUUACUUUGUAAACUGAAGCAGCGCACUUAAUGAAGGAAGCAGAGAAGCUGCUGUGGAGGCUUUUUGCUAUCUAAUGUGCUCACGCGGUGCCUCAGUUUCUGCAUCUGUAAAUUAAGAUGAUAAUAAUCACUAUCUCAUAGGGUUGUGCAGAAGAUUAGAUGAGUUAAUAUACAGAAAGCAUUUAAACAGUGCCUGGCGCAUCGUAAGCGCAAUGUAUAAUGGUUUGUUUUCAUCACUACUUUGAUCAUUUAUUUUAAAAUAAAAUGUGCAAUACAUUUUGUAUAGUAAGAAAGGCAGAAAUAGUGAAUUUUGGGAUCAAUUUUUGAGACUAGUUCUGAGAUAUUCAUGGCCUUAGCAUCUAAAAUCUCUUUUACAUUCUCCACAACCUUUCUGAACAUACUUAGUUUGUAAAAUCAGAUUGGACAUUUUACAGGAAUAGCUUUUC
rnacentral:lncRNA from 1 species